CGCUCUUCCUCCUGGAGUGGAUUCCUUGUUUUUUUGUUUGUUUUUUAGAAGAACCAUUUUUUUUUAAGAUUUUAUUUUUAAAUAAUCUCUACACCCAACAUGGAGCUCGAACUCCCGACUUUGAGAUCAAGACUCGAAUGCUCCAUCGGCUGAGCCAGCUAAGUGCCCCAACAAUGCCAUUUUUUUGGGGGGGGGAUUUAUUUAUUUAUUCAUGAGAAACACAGACAGAGAGAGAGAGAGGCAGAGACCCAGGCAGAGGGAGAAGCAGGCCCCAUGCAGGGAGCCUGACAUGGGACUCGAUCCCGGGACCCCAGGGUCACGCCCUGGGUGGAAGGGGCAGGCGCUGAACCGCUGAGCCAGCCAGGGAUCCCCAACAAUGCCAAUUUUAAAUAAGACCGUAAUCAUCUCAAAGGCCAGAUCACUUAGUUUUCUUCAUUUAUACAUCAACGACAACCUUAUUUUCUUAAUAGUUUUCUAUUUACAUUCAUAUCAAACAUUAGAUACAGGGCAUAUUCUUAAAGUACAAUGCCAGUUUAUAGGAAGGUAUGGUCUGAAACAGUGAGGCCCACCCAGCCUGUUACUUUAGAGUGUAUAUUGAAAUUUAAAAGAAUUCCAUAAUAUUCUGGGAUGUCAAAAUUAGAGUUCAGCCACUGUUCUCCCAAUACGUAAGUUCUACUCACCCUUAAAACAUGUUGGUAAGAGAUGUAAAAAGCUCAUCCCAUUUCAGUAAUUCUUUAAAACGCCAAACUCUUAAAUAAUGGGGUUUUCCUUAUGUAAACUCAGUGGGGACUCCCUGUCCCUAAUCGCCACCCCCCAUGACUUCAUAAGGCUCCUGAUGUGAUUGAAAUGGUGUUUCUUCAGGAGCUCAUUGGAAUCAGGGUACAGAACUAAGUAUUAAAAAGUCAAAUAGCUUUGUAAGCCUUAAAAAGCAUACCAGCCGACCUCGGAUCUUAUCCUCCCUAUGCCUGGUUAUCAGUCCCCAGAAUGACUAUUUUCAACAUUUUCCAGUUGUUUUUUCCAAUGAUUUUUUUUCUCUCUUUCUACAUUACAGGCUUUUUCUAGAGUGUCUUGAUAUCCUCAGUUAUAGAUAGUAUCUGUUGCUUGGAAAAUGAGGGUUUAGGUCUCCUACAGACUACUCUCCAAAAUAACCUUUCCUUCCACAUUGAUAAUAGGUAUAUUAGAAAUAGUUAUUUAUCACAGUAUAUUAAAAAUAGUUAAUUGUCACAAUUUAUAGUAUAUUAAUGUUUACAUUUCUAUUACAAAGUACAUUACAUAAUCACACAAUACAUAAACAGAGUCACAGUUACACAAUAGUCACAUUAUUACUUUUUAAAAGAUUUUAUUUAUUUAUUUGAUCAACAGCACCAGCAAGGGAAGCAGCAGAGGGAGAGGGAGAAAUAGGCUCCCCAGUGAACAGGGCGCCCACCUUGGGAUUGGAUCCCAGGACCCUGAGAUCAUGACCUGAGCCACCCAAGUGCCCCCAAUAGUUACAUUAUUGCACACGUUGCAAUAGUACUGCUUAUCAAGAAUAGGAAAUUUUACCAGUGGUUGGUUGGUUGUGCCUUCUUCAAGGACUCAAAUUAUCUGCUCAGAGGAGGGAGUCUUUUUUAAAAUUGUAAUUCCAGAGGGAGUGAUUAAGGUUUUCUGGGUGAUGGGCAUCCUUUUUAACCAAGUAAGACAAAGCAAAGCAAUAUUUCUUUAUUUCUCUUCCCCUCCCCUUUUUUAAAAAUCAGAAAUAAUAUUCUCUUUUUGUUUCCUGGGUUCAUAAUUUAUAUCUCGGAGGACAUUAAUCACAGUUGUUUAUUUUUUAGUUAUUGUUGUGGGUUUCUUCUUGAAUUGUUUCAAGUUUUGUUGUGUUUUUAUCAUUUGAUUUGUUUUCUGCCAUGGUACUAGUGUUUUUCCCAAGCUAUUUUUGCAUUUGCAGUGAAACAAAAAAAUUUUUUUUGAAAGUUCUUUGAGUAUGGGUGUGGCCUGUCACAUAGUUUCACUGUAGGGUUUUCUUUUAUUUCACUGAGGGUAAAAAAAAAAAAAACCAUUUAUUAUCAUCCAUAAGUAAUUUCUCUUAAGCCUAGUCAGUUACCCUGUGAGGAAACUUCCAGAUUCCCACCUGUGAGUUACAAGCCUUACUGCAAGUUUUCUGUGACUGAGGAGGGAAGGAGGCUGGAUAUCUCAUUAUUUGCUCAUGCAGAUCUGCAGAAGGAAGCAGGAGAGGUGGAUCCAGUGCUGUCCCAACUGAGUACAAAGGAGGGCAGUACCUACCUGUAAUUGGUGACAUCUCUGGUCUUGCUGGAAAAGCAUGAAAAAGAAGAUCAAGGCGAUGUCAAAACUGCCUAAGAUAGUAGGUGACCUUAAAAAAAAAAAAAAAAGAUAGUAGGGGACCUUCAGUGUUGGCUUCUUGCAUAAUCCAGAGAAACAGACCUGCUCAGUGGGAUGGACAGCAAUCCCAGUCCUGCUUCCUGCCACUCACACAU